GCCGAUGACGAUUCAAUCCGCUUGUUUGAGGUGCAGUGGAAUUGAGACCCUGUUUACAGGGAGAACCCCUCAGUGACACUGCAUUCAUAUGAAUUCAAUGGAUUUAGCUGAGGU